ensembl:misc_RNA Metazoa_SRP Metazoan signal recognition particle RNA
GCCAGGCAUGGUGAUGCGUGCCUGUAGUCCCAGCUACUCGGGAGGCUGAGGCAGGAGGAUCACUUGAGUCCAGGAGUUCAAGCCUUCAGUGAGCCAUUUUUGCACCACUGCACUCCAGCCUGGGUGACAGAGUGAGACUCUGUCUCUC